UGGGGGAUAUUGCACAAUGGGGGAAACCCUGAUGCAGCAACGCCGCGUGAACGAAGAAGGUCUUCGGAUUGUAAAGUUCUGUUCUUGGUGAAGAUAAUGACGGUAGCCAAGGAGAAAGCUCCGGCUAACUACGUGCCAGCAGCCGCGGUAAUACGUAGGGAGCGAGCGUUGUCCGGAUUUACUGGGUGUAAAGGGUGCGCAGGCGGCUCUGCAAGUCAGGCGUGAAAGCUAGGGGCUCAACCCCUAAACUGCGCUUGAAACUGUGGAGCUUGAGUGAAGUAGAGGCAGGCGGAAUUCCCGGUGUAGCGGUGAAAUGCGUAGAGAUCGGGAGGAACACCAGUGGCGAAGGCGGCCUGCUGGGCUUUAACUGACGCUCAGGCACGAAAGCAUGGGUAGCAAACAGG
rnacentral:rRNA from 1 species